ACGGUCUAGGUGAUUAGGCUGCUCAUACAGGAUUAGCUGGCGGUCUAGGUGAUUAGGCUGCUCAUACGGGAUUAGCUGGCGGUCUAGGUGAUUAGGCUGCUCAUACGGGAUUAGCUGGCGGUCUAGGUGAUUAGGCUGCUCAUACGGGAUUAGCUGGCGGUCUAGAUGUUCAGGCUGCUCAUACGGGAUUAGCUGGCGGUCUAGGUGUUCAGGCUGCCCAUACGGGAUUAGCUGGCGGUCUAGAUGUUCAGGCUGCCCAUACGGGAUUAGCUGGCGGUCUAGUUGUUCAGACUGACCAUACGGGAUUAGCUGGCGGUCUAGUUGUUCAGGCUGCCCAUACGGGAUUAGCUGCCGGUGUAGGUGUUCAGGCUGCCCAUACGGGAUUAGCUGCCGGUGUAGGUGUUCAGGCUGCCCAUACGGGAUUAGCUGGCGGUCUAGUUGUUCAGGCUGCCCAUACGGGAUUAGCUGGCGGUCUAGUUGUUCAGGCUGCCCAUACGGGAUUAGCUGGCGGUCUAGUUGUUCA